rnacentral:snRNA from 1 species
AGCUCUGCGCAGCGGCAUUACCAUAGCCAAUGAGGUUUAUCCAAGGCGCGAUUAUUGCUAAUUGAAAACUGGUGUUUGGUUUUUGCAGCAUGAAUGUGCUAAUUCUUUUUUUUUUUUAAU